rnacentral:sRNA from 1 species
GCUCGGAGAUCUGGUCGGACCAACGU